rnacentral:rRNA from 1 species
AUGAGCACCGACGACCGCUGGUGCUACAUCGUGCUCGGGGUCGCCGCCUCGCGCCGGGCCGGGCCGUGGACUGGGACGUCCUCAAGGAGCGGCUGGUGGAGCUUCGUUCGCACCGCGCUGGAGCAGACCCGCCUCCGCACCGCCCUCACGCCCCACCCCUCGCAGGAAAAGUUCAGGCUCAUACGAGCCAACGACGAUGCGACUGUUUUGGAUGCUCUCUCCUUCAGCGCUCGUAAAAUUAGACUGCUUCACAGCUUGACGGUUGAGAAGAAAAACUAUGUUCAGGAGCCCUCUUUGGUCGACAUGCACGAGGAGGAGGAAAUUGUCUCCCCACACAAGGAGGAUGCCUGA